rnacentral:rRNA from 1 species
AGAGUUUGAUCCUGGCUCAGGACGAACGCUGGCGGCGUGCUUAACACAUGCAAGUCGAACGGAAAGGUCUCUUCGGAGAUACUCGAGUGGCGAACGGGUGAGUAACACGUGGGUGAUCUGCCCUGCACUUCGGGAUAAGCCUGGGAAACUGGGUCUAAUACCGAAUAGGACCACGGGAUUCAUGUCCUGUGGUGGAAAGCGCUUUAGCGGUGUGGGAUGAGCCCGCGGCCUAUCAGCUUGUUGGUGGGGUGACGGCCUACCAAGGCGACGACGGGUAGCCGGCCUGAGAGGGUGUCCGGCCACACUGGGACUGAGAUACGGCCCAGACUCCUACGGGAGGCAGCAGUGGGGAAUAUUGCACAAUGGGCGCAAGCCUGAUGCAGCGACGCCGCGUGGGGGAUGACGGCCUUCGGGUUGUAAACCUCUUUCACCAUCGACGAAGGUCCGGGAUUUCUCGGAUUGACGGUAGGUGGAGAAGAAGCACCGGCCAACUACGUGCCAGCAGCCGCGGUAAUACGUAGGGUGCGAGCGUUGUCCGGAAUUACUGGGCGUAAAGAGCUCGUAGGUGGUUUGUCGCGUUGUUCGUGAAAUCUCACGGCUUAACUGUGAGCGUGCGGGCGAUACGGGCAGACUAGAGUACUGCAGGGGAGACUGGAAUUCCUGGUGUAGCGGUGGAAUGCGCAGAUAUCAGGAGGAACACCGGUGGCGAAGGCGGGUCUCUGGGCAGUAACUGACGCUGAGGAGCGAAAGCGUGGGGAGCGAACAGGAUUAGAUACCCUGGUAGUCC